CACAUUAUUCAACGUCCAUUGACCAUACAUACAGUUUAUGGCACUUCAACAUAACAAAUAUUCAAACCAAAACAAUACCAAUGAAAUAAUUAUGACAUUCAUCAAAAGUGCUAGAAAACUAAACUCAUAGAAUAUCAUGAGGACCGCAAUAAUAAUAGAUCAAAGUCUAACCACAUUGCUUUAUCCUCAUAGUUCAAAGAAUAAUAUUAAUACCACCUACGCAAAUACUAAAGCCUAACUUGGACCACUUCCUUGGUAUCCUCGCACCGUUCGCACCGCAAAUGCUAAUAUCU
rnacentral:lncRNA from 1 species